UGAGAAAAAACUGAAAAGUGAUUACUGCAGUACAUUCAAAUGCCAUGGGAAGGUGAGCAGUGGAAGGGCAGACACCUCCAGACCAAUGGAUAGGCUGCUGUGAACAGAAACUGAAGAUAAAGUGUGUGUUUAUAGGUAGCAUUUUAAAACAGCUGCAAUUUCAGUGCUGGACCAACCCUCUGAUUAGACAAGCGGAAAAGCUAUGAAGUAUACUCUAUAAUAAAUGUCAGAGCAAAGAAGAGCAAAGAACUGAAAAACACCCUAUUAGAGGCUAGCAAGAGCCAGGAAAUAAAAGAAGAACCCGUGUCAAAAAGCAAAAAAAAAUUCAAGAGCAGAACAGAAGUUCAAGGGUGACAAAGAGAAGGAUCAGAGCCCUUUUGUAACUCGAUAAAGAAAAGGUUUUC